rnacentral:rRNA from 1 species
UACGUAGGGGGCAAGCGUUGUCCGGAUUUAUUGGGCGUAAAGAGCGUGUAGGCGGCUGGGUAGGUCCGUUGUGAAAACUCGAGGCUCAACCUCGAGACGCCGAUGGAAACCAUCCAGCUAGAGUCCGGAAGAGGAGAGUGGAAUUCCUGGUGUAGCGGUGAAAUGCGCAGAUAUCAGGAGGAACACCGGUGGCGAAGGCGGGUCUCUGGGCAGUAACUGACGCUGAGGAGCGAAAGCGUGGGGAGCGAACAGG